CAGUCGCCACGGUAAUACGAGGGGAGCUAGCGUUAUUCGGAAUUACUGGGCGUAAAGCGCACGUAGGCGGCUUUGUAAGUUAGAGGUGAAAGCCCAGAGCUCAACUCUGGAAUUGCCUUUAAGACUGCAUCGCUUGAAUCCAGGAGAGGUGAGUGGAAUUCCGAGUGUAGAGGUGAAAUUCGUAGAUAUUCGGAAGAACACCAGUGGCGAAGGCGGCUCACUGGACUGGUAUUGACGCUGAGGUGCGAAAGCGUGGGGAGCAAACAGGAUUAGAUACCCCAGUAGUCCCUGUCUCUUAUAC
rnacentral:rRNA from 1 species